AACGAACGCUGGCGGCAGGCCUAACACAUGCAAGUCGAGCGAACCCCUCGGGGUUAGCGGCGGACGGGUUAGUAACGCGUGGGAAUAUACCCUUUGGUACGGAAUAGCCUCGGGAAACUGAGAGUAAUACCGUAUGUGCCCUUCGGGGGAAAGAUUUAUCGCCAAAGGAUUAGCCCGCGUUGGAUUAGAUAGUUGGUGGGGUAAUGGCCUACCAAGUCUACGAUCCAUAGCUGGUUUGAGAGGAUGAUCAGCAACACUGGGACUGAGACACGGCCCAGACUCCUACGGGAGGCAGCAGUGGGGAAUCUUAGACAAUGGGCGCAAGCCUGAUCUAGCCAUGCCGCGUGGACGAUGAAGGCCUUAGGGUUGUAAAGUCCUUUCAGAUGGGAAGAUAAUGACGGUACCAUCAGAAGAAGCCCCGGNUAACUCCGUG
rnacentral:rRNA from 1 species